CCUAGUAGGAGAGCGGCGUGUGGACACUACAACAGGACCAAUCAUAGAGGGCAAAAGGGAGCGUGGACAAGUAGCUUUAGCCUAUUAGCAAUCAAGUAGCUGCGCGUGGAGCUAGGGAUAGUGUUUAA